CUGGCUCAGGAUGAACGCUAGCUACAGGCUUAACACAUGCAAGUCGAGGGGCAGCAGUUGGGAUAGCUUGCUAUUCCAGAUGGCGACCGGCGCGACGGGUGAGUAACGCGUAUCCAACCUCCCCAUAGGUAGGGCACAGCCCGGCGAAAGUCGGAUUAAUUCCCUAUGCUGUCCAGAGAGGACAUCUGACCUGGACGAAAGAUUCAUCGCUAGUGGGAUGGGGAUGCGUCUGAUUAGGUUGCAGGCGGGGUAACGGCCCACCUGGCCGACGAUCAGGUAGGGUUCUGAGAGGAAGGUCCCCCACAUUGGAACUGAGACACGGUACCAAACUCCUACGGGAGGCAGCAGUGAGGAAUAUUGGUCAAUGGACGGAAGUCUGAACCAGCCAAGUAGCGUGCAAGGAUGACCGGCCCUAGUGGGUUAGUAAACUGUCUUUUAUCGAGGGAAUAAAGUGAGGUAUGUAUACCUUUUUGCAUGUACCUGAUGAAUAAGGACCGGCUAAUUCCGUGCCAGCCGCGGC
rnacentral:rRNA from 1 species